UACGUAGGAUCCAAGCGUUAUCCGGAAUUACUGGGCGUAAAGCGUGCGCAGACUGUUUAGUAGGUCUUUAUGCGAAAUCCGGUGGCUCAACCACCUGGACUGUAUGAGAAACCCCUAGACUUGAGGUAGGUAGAGGUACAUGGAAUUUCUGGUGUAGGAGUGACAUCCGUAGAUAUCAGAAGGAACACCAAUGGCGAAGGCAGUGUACUGGGCCUUACCUGACGUUCAGGCACGAAAGCGUGGGUAGCAAACAGG
rnacentral:rRNA from 1 species